UAGGAGGGGAAGAGAAUCAGACCACUGCCAUUUCACCAGACACAUACCUGAUUCUUUUCCCGAACAUGUUUUUAGGAAUACUUUCAAAUAUCCAGCAGGGAGUUAAAAGAACUGCCCACUGUCAACCCUUACUGUAUUCCCCAAAUCACCCACCCGCUGCCCUUCCACCCAUCAUACCUAACUAUCUGUCAUCUAUCUAUCUAACCUGUCUCCAAGUACAUCAAAAAGGGAUGGGUCAGGGAUGCUUUCAAAGUACAUCAGAGACAUACCAUGCGUGUCACACUGAACUCCAAAACGUAUAUUAUUUACUGUGAUUCAAACCUUGCCUAUUCUUUCAGCACAGUUCACACACAGAGAUGCACAAAACUUCCGUGCUCUUGGGAACGGGUUUGGCCAAUGCGUGCCCCUGUGAGCCCAGUCCUACUGGGAAGCCCGGCCUUCCCCUACCACUCCCCGGCACCCACCCGGCCCAAAGGGCAUGUGGUACUGAUUCCUUCCCCUCAGAAACCGGUUCUGUAUGUUUUAGAACGUUGUGUAAAUAUGGAUUCUCCGUGUGAGGCCCUCUUGCCUUGACGCUUAUCCUGUUGUCUUCUUUAUUGGUCUGCGUGUGCGAGGACAGUGAUUACAUUCAUUGUGUGGCACUGGUCUGUGUAGGUAUCACAUUUUAACCACUUUCACCCCUUCCUCCUCCCCUCCCCUCAUCCCAGGCCCCCUUCCCAGCCUGCAAAGCCUGCCUCCCUCUUUCCUGUCAUCUGUCUUCUAUUUUACUCUUUGUUUACACCCUGAGUUUCUCAUAACCAUGUGACACUUAUGCUUCUGGGUCUGCUUAUCCCCUGAGCCUUAGGGACGUGGGGUGCCUCCGUUCUCCUACCAGCGCUGUUCACGCAGCAGCGCUGUGUCCCCCUGACCGCUGGCCGGGGAGCCGGGCUGCAGGGCAGCGUGCUUCUCUGCUCUCCCGUCGAUGGACAUCUGCGUGCGUUGCUCCAGGGCAAAAGCUGCCGUGCACACGUGUGUGCGUGCGUUUGAACUGAUGCGUUUGAAUCGAGGAGGUCAUCUGUGGUGUCAUCCAACCCGCCAGACCUUUCCGUGCAGGGCUUGUGGCGUUUACCAGGUCCUCGGCCAGGGCCGGUGCUGUUCAAUUCUGCCUCACCUUGGAGCUCUCAGUUCAUUCGUGCAUUCGUACGAUUUUUGCCAGUCUGGUGGGUGUUGUGCAGCACCUGGUUGCGGUUUCCAUUGGCUUUUCCCCGUGAGUAAAGGAGACAGACACCGGGCCACAUGCCCGUGGGCUCUUUGUCCGUUUUCUGUUGUAAAAUGGAUUUGGGUGUAUCCAGGAUACUUCAGCAGACUGAGCUUCAGGGGUGCAGGUUUCUAGCGCCUGCGCGGUGGGUGCUGCAGCCUGAGAAGACAGACGCGAAUCUGCUCAGAGUUCCGGAGCUGGAAGUCUGGAGUGCAGGUGUCAGCAGGCCCAGGCCAGCUGGGAGACUCCGGGCAGCACCUUCUGCGGCCUCUUUUGGCUCUGUGGAGGCCAGUGGUCCCCAACCCUGCUCGGCUUGCAGCCACACCCCAGGCCCGGCUGUUGGCUUCCUGUUCCAUAAGGGCAUGGAUCCUACUGGGCUGCGUGCGCCUACUCCAGCGUGACCUCGUGAUAACUGAUGACAUCUGCCAUGCCUCUGUCUCCAAAUAAGAUUGGGAGCUCAGCACACUCUGGGGGACGCGGAUCACAGCCUGUCCUAAGGUGAGCCAUGCUCCGCCCACGGCUCUGGGAGGCGCCCUGGGUGCUAGGAGCGGCUGCACAUUUUCCAACCCCAGCUCUGACGGAGGAGGUGUGACGGCGGCUUUGGGAUAGCAGGACGGCUUGCUGGACAAUGCCUGAGAUCACAGUGAUAACUGAAAUAAAUCAGACACACAAGCUAAAAGGCUGUGUGGUUCCUCGUACGCAAGAAACUUGAUGGCUAAUAAGGAGCAAAAUGAAAGAGAAUGGGAGCCAUGGAAGCUGGAGAUUGAUCACAUCUGUGGGGCUAAAGCAAGACCAGCCCAGGAAAAACAGAGAUCAAAACAAGCCAUGUAAACAGGUUGUUCCAGCCCCAAGAAGACAAGGGGCCCCGGCCAGCCAAGCAGUGGGUUGCUAGGCAGAGGGCCUAAAGUUGACAUCAGCUCUCCCAGUAUAUAAAUAAAGAAGCUGCAUUGGUUGAGCAGUUCCUUUCCUCCCAUCUGGAGCAUAAGGGCUCCCCCUGACCCCAGCCUUGUCUCUUCUUUAUUUUCUCAUCCUCUCGGGGUCCUUAACCCCAAGAACCUCAGGAGCCACAUUGGGCCACAGCAUAUUGACAUCAAAACAUGGACAGGGUAAGAGAUUGACGGUGAGGGCACACUUCUCAUGUGCAUGCAACUUAGGCAGAGAAGUGCACUGGUAUAGGUCAGUGGCCAUCACUGCAGUGUACUGAUGUUGUUGCAGUGUAUUGAUGUUGGCUUCAUCAGUUGUAAA